rnacentral:rRNA from 1 species
AGUAGUUGAUCAUGGCUCAGGACGAACGCUGGCGGCGUGCUUAACACAUGCAAGUCGAACGGUGAACCAGGGCUUGCCCUGGGGAUCAGUGGCGAACGGGUGAGUAACACGUGGGCAACCUGCCCCUGACUCUGGGAUAACUCCUCGAAAGAGGUGCUAAUACCGGAUACGACCACUUCGGGCAUCCGAUGGUGGUGGAAAGAAUUUUGGUCAGGGAUGGGCCCGCGGCCUGUCAGCUUGUUGGUGGGGUAACGGCCCACCAAGGCGACGACGGGUAGCCGGCCUGAGAGGGCGACCGGCCACACUGGGACUGAGACACGGCCCAGACUCCUACGGGAGGCAGCAGUGGGAAUAUUGCGCAAUGGGCGAAAGCCUGACGCAGCGACGCCGCGUGAGGGACGACGGCCUUCGGGUUGUAAACCUCUUUCAGCCGGGACGAAGCGAAAGUGACGGUACCUGCAGAAGAAGCACCGGCUAACUACGUG